GAUGAACGCUGGCGGCGCGCCUAACACAUGCAAGUCGAACGGUUAAAGCACCUUUUAGGUGUGUAUAAAGUGGCGAACGGCUGAGUAACACGUGGGCAACCUGCCCUCCUCUUGGGGAUAGCCUCGGGAAACCGAGGAUAAUACCCGAUACUUCAAUGUGGCCGCAUGACGACAUUGAGAAAGCUUUUGCGGAGAAGGAUGGGCCCGCGGCCUGUUAGCUUGUUGGUGGGGUAGAGGCCUACCAAGGCAAUGAUGGGUAGCUGGGUUGAGAGACCGACCAGCCGGAGUGGGACUGAGACACGGCCCAGACGCCUACGGGAGGCAGCAGUGGGGAAUCUUGCACAAUGGGCGAAAGCCUGAUGCAGCGACGCCGCGUGCGGGACGAAGGCCUUCGGGUUGUAAACCGCUUUCAGCAGGGACGAGGCGAUAAGUGACGGUACCUGCAGAAGAAGCCCCGGCUAACUACGUG
rnacentral:rRNA from 1 species